GAACGCAGCAAAUGCGAUAAGUAGUGUGAAUUGCAGAAUACGUGAAUCAUCGAAUCUUCGAACGCAUAUUGCACUUUUUAGUUUACUAAAAAGUAUGUCUGUUUGAGUAUCAGUAAAAUAUUCUCAUAAAAAUUUAUUUUUAUGGUUUUGAGUGUUACAACGAUACAAGUUGUUUCACUUUAAAUUUUUUGAUAUUGGAAUUUUCAAUUUUUUAAAUUGGAUAAAAUUUCCCGUAAAAAGGAAUAAACUUGACAAUUUUAAAAUGAAGAAAACAUUUCCACAAUAAAGGAAAAUUUAAAAUCAACUUGAUCUCAAAUCAGAUAAGAGUACCGCUGAACUUAAGCAUAUCAAUAAGCGGAGGAAAGAAACUAACAAGGAUUCCCUAGUAACGGCGAGUGAAGCGGAAGAGCUCAAAUUUGAAUCUUAAAGGGUUCCCUUACGAAUUGUAGUUUAAGAAGUGUUUCUGUUGGAGUUCGGUAAAGUUCUUUGGAAUAGGACAUCAUAGAGGGUGAGAAUCCCGUAUUUGACGUUACUUCCAGCUGUGUAUACACUUCAAAGAGUCGGAUUGUUGGGAAAGCAGUCCAAAUGGUGGUAAUUUCAUCUAAAGCUAAAUAUUGGCGAGAGACCGAUAGCGAACAAGUACGUGAGGGAAAGAUGAAAGAACUUUGAAAAGAGAGUUAAACAGUACGUGAAAUUGUCAAAGGGAAGCGUUGACACCAGUGUGUUUAGUUGAAAUCAAUUCAAUAGUUUUGAUUCUAAGUAGUAUUGACUUCAUCAGCUUGCUUUCUUCUCAGAAUUAUUGAAUGCACUUUCAGUUACAAGUCAACAUCAAUUCUUUGUUGUAAAAGGUAAGAGGAAGUGCUGCGCUUCGGCUCAAGUGUUUAUAGCCUUUAUCUCUGCAAUCGGAGAGAUUGAGGUCUGCAGCGUAGAUCUUCGGGUAGAUACAUUGGUGCUAAGCUAUAGCCUUGUAUAGACAACUUGUUGACUAUGCUCAGUCAUGUAGCUUACUCGCUGAUGCUAUUUUACCUACGCUUAGGAUGUUGAC
rnacentral:misc_RNA from 1 species